rnacentral:lncRNA from 1 species
AGAUUGUGCCACUGCACUCCAGCCUGGGCAACAGAGCAAGACUCUAUCUCAAAAUAAAGAAAAAUUGUCCCUGGUAAUUAUUUUGUCUUUUCUCCUAUCCAGUAGCUGUUCAGACUCCUUUCACUGAAGCCCUUUUAUUUCACAAAUACUAUUUUCAAAUUCUGCUUUUUUAGCUACCAAAUGACUUUUUGUUAGCUACCCUACUUAAAUGAGUUGAGUACUUAAGUCUAUAGAGUCUAUUUGUGAUUGUAACAGAUUAUGGAGAUCUUAAUUCAGGGAAAUAAUUUCUUCUAAUAAAGCAUUCUCUUAUUCUUUUAAAGAUCAAAAUAAAACAGACUCUAGAAUAACAGUGUCCCUUAACAACUUACUCUGAGGCCUUGUUUCUCCAGUCUGGUGUGCUGUUAUUUCCUUUUCUGUUCUUUGUAGGGUUAUUUAGAUAAAAAAUAAAGUCAUAAAAACAAGCAUCUUAAACUACCCUGUUCUGUAGUCUGCUCUUCAUUUGCUAUUUUAUAGCUUUUGAGUUAUGAAUUUAUAGGGGAUUGUAGGUCAGCAAGUUUAAAGUCACUCACAGUAGGCUUGGUUUGCCUUUGAGUCUCAGGCUUACAGGAGUUAUGGGUUAAAUGACUGGCUUUGCAGGUUUGCUUCUUGGCAGUGAGUCUUCACAUAGGCAGUGUUCAAGUUGUGGUCUUAACUCUUAGAAUGUGAACUUUGUCAUGUAACCACUCUAGGCCUUAUUUUUCUUACCUAUAAAGUUGUGAUUUUGUUUAGCAAAUAAGGAUCAUGGCUAAGGACAAUGUUACUUAGGGGAAAAAAAAAAAAAAGGAGAGAACAAAUUACUCAUAAUCCUGCCACUGACCUAACUCAUGUAGUGUUGAUGCUAAAAAUGAAAAAGAAAAAAAGUCUUCUAUUUAACGUAAUUAAGAUUAUUUUGUUUAUACUGCAGUGUUGUAUUCCAUAUAAUAUUUUUUAGUAUAUCCCAUGUUUUAGAAAUUCUUUAAAGAUUUUAUUUUUAAAUAUUAGAUAUAGUUUCACUGUGUGAUAUAUACUGUAUUUUAAAUCAUUUUAUUGUUCAGCAUUUAAAUUUUCAGUCUUUUGUUGUAAAUAAUGCUUCACUGAAAUCUUGAUAUGUAAAUUUUUAUAGGCCUCACAUUAUUUUCUUAUGUCUCAGUUCCUACAAGUAGAAAUGCUAGCUUAAAGUUUGAAAUACUUAUCAAUGGUAUUGAUAGCUGUUGGCAAGUUUUUUUUUUUUCUCCCAGAGAAGUUGUCCCAGUUUACUGUUUCACCAUCCUACAUGGCCUCUGGUUUAAACUAAUUGUGAUAGCCUACUGACUGUUUUCUCUGCCUUUAGUAUCACCUUAUUUUUAGGUCAUCCUGACACUGUAUGCACAGUAAGUUCUUUAAGAUACAAGUCUUAUUUUAUAACUUUUUGCCUUAAAAUUCUAUAGGUUAAAGUGUAUUUACUCGGUGUCAUUCAACACCCUUCAUGAUCUCGCUGCUGUCUAAUUUUCCACCUUAUUUUAUGCAAACCUAUACAUUUUGUGGAUGAGGAGGUGGGAGGGGGAUGUGCUAGGCAGAGGAAACAGCAUCUGCAAGGGCAUAGCUGCAUGUAGUGGCAUGGUAUACUUGAAUUGCAACAAGCACAUUGAUAUAUGUGAAACUUAAAGGCAGGCUGCUGGAAGUCUUUAGUAUAGCAUACUCAAACAAAAUAGUUGACUAAAUAAAAGUAGACAACAUUUUAUCUAUGAUUUAGAAAAGUAACUGGUGGUGUAGAUAAUUGUUAAUCAGGACUUUUGGUUACAAAUGACAGAAAUCCAACUCAAAUUGGCUUAAAUGCAAAAGUAUAUUUACUGGCCAGGCAAGCAGAGCUAGAUCCAGGACUUGGUGACAGUGGGUUUCCCAUCCUCCCCCAUUCUUUCAUUCCUCCUAUGAGCAGUUUUUGCUUACUGGGAUUGUGUCCUCACAAUCCCGAAAGAAAAGAGAGUAUUUUUCUCUGAUAGCCUUGGCAGGAAAGUGAAGUCCUGAGGAAGACAUUGUCUAGUUUCAGUCAUGUGCUCUUUCCUGAACGAGACAUGUUGUUAGGGGUGGGUAGUACUCUGGUCAGGCUUGGGUUUCUUGUAUGUCUCAGGACCAGAGACUCUCCUUAAAGGAAAGGAUCUGUGUGAAAGUACCUGUGUCUGUUACAAGGAUGUAUAGAACUAGAAGGAGAGUCAACAGUUGAGAGGCUAGUUAGGAGGUAGUUAUGAUAGCUUAGGUGAGGACUGAAGUGGGUUUGAAUUAGGUCACUGUGAAGACAGAGUUUAGGAAAACUUUAUGUAAAAUGCAUAGAACUUGGUGACUGACUAAAAGUGGGAGAUGAAGUAAGGGAAGGCUACUGUGUGUUGGGCUACUUUGUACAUGGUGAUGCCAUUACUAUUAACCAACAUGGGAAUUCAGAAAAAGAACACUUUGGGGAAGUGGACUGCAGAUGAUAAGUAGAAUUUUGACAUGAGAUUGUCCAAAAAGAGAUUAAAAGGAGCUAGAAAAAAAAAAGGGGGGUGUGUGUAGAAGAAAAACCAAGUGAAAAGGACCAGAAAAGGGACCAGAAAAAUAGGUAAAAAUAUUAUGGACGCAACAAGAAGAGAGGUUAUUGCCCAAUAUUGUAGAGUAGUUGAGAAUAAUGAUGAUUUUGUAAUAAAUUAUCAUUGAUGACCUUGGAGCAAUUUCAUUUGAUUGGUGGAAAGCUAGAUUGCAGUGGGUCGAAACAAUUAAAAACAAACAAACAAACAAAAGGAGUGGUAGCUUGGUGAAGAGGCAGGAAAGCUUUCUAUAGGCCAAAAUAAAGGAACAGAAGGUUAAACCAAAGCUGUAAGAAAGGAAUCAGAAUUGAAAAAGUAAGGUCUAUUAGAAGAUAGAUACAGUCUUGAAUGAACCUUUUCCUCUGCAACUACAAGGUCUUCCCAUUAGACUGCAAAGUCUUGAAGAUUUGAUGCCUGAGAUGUAAGAAGUACUUAAUAAAUGAAAGAUGACUAUUGAAUAAAUGAAAGAUCAUAGAGAAAAAGUUGAAAAUACAAAUAUGCUUGGAGACAAAGCAGAGGGAAGUUGAUAGGAUUCAUCUUUGUUUUCUUUUUUCCUCUCUGAGGUAGAAAGCCAGGGGAUAAGGCCUUUCUCCAACUUACCUUAAAGCAUUGCUGUGAGGAACCAGUGGGAAGAUCGAUGUGAAACAUUGUUAAACUAGAAGGUAUUGGUCAAAUGGAAGGAAGUAAUACUUCAUUUCUGGCAUCUUAAUUUUGAAUAGGACUUCAAAUCCGUUGAUAUUUGGUUCUCACCAGCUCAAAAACCCCAUUUGCUUCCUUAACAACUGCUAAUUUAACUUCUCUUAGGUGUCUGGUGUGUGGGAAGAGCCAAGCUUCGGAGACAGAUGGGUCUGGGUUAGAAUCCAGUUUUCCCUACUGCUUAGCCUUGUGAUUUCCAGUGUUUAAUUGGUCCAACUCAGAUUUUUUGUCCGUGAAAUUGGGAUUUAAAAACUAGUUUGCAGGCAUGUUGUUAGAAUUAAGUGAAUGUACAUAAAGUGCCUACAACCAUAGUAGCUAUUCAAGUUACCUGGGAUGUUUAUCCCUGCCCCAUAUGAGUAGCCAACCUUAUUAUGCCUUCAGACUGAAAAAUGCCAGAUAAAAGUAUUAUCUUAUAUUGAAACAUUUCAUCUUCCUGUUUAUUAUUCAUCGAUUUAGCUUAUCUCUAAAACUGUGUAAUUGUCUUCACAGUGACAGUACUUCAAAUAUUUUAAAGUUUUCAUGUUCUCCCUGAUUCCUUUUCAGACAAUAUCUUCAGCUUUAUCAACCCUUUAUGAAAUGGUUUCUAGAUUAUGCAUUAUACUGGCUGCCCUUCUUGAAGGUAUUCUAGUUUCAUUGCUCUAGUGGUAGUCUGCCCAGUGUCUAGUAAUUAGCCUUGCUUUUCAUAGAGAAGGAAGAUGAGAUUAAUAGGAAACAUUUUGGAGAUAAAACUCUCAUUUUAACAGGUCAAAAUUAAGGUGUAUUUUACUAUUUCAUCCUAAAGUAUUCUGUUUUCUUAUGUUUGACAUUUUUCUUGUAUGUCCAUGGCAUUUAUAAAAUGAUUUCCUUGCAAUUACCCUCUUCCUUCUUGCAUGCUUACCCCCAAUUUUGUUUGUAUGUCCACGUCUAUCCCACAUCGCUUGGGGAAAUCCCGAAUAUUACAAGCUAAUCAGGGUAAUCCUAUUCUGCCUAGUAGUGAUUCAUUUGGGAAGGGACAUGUGAUCAAAGCCUGGCCCUUUGCAUUUCAGGGAAAGUCAGCUUGUGGGGCUUCUAGGAGUCUUCCUCAUACCUGAAAAGGGAGACACGGAAGGAUAUUUCCACUUCUACUGCAUGACAAUAUGUGUUUAAUAGGAUCCCAUGAAGUAUAACAAUUAACAUGUGGCUAUGAAGGGAGUUAUCCUAAGGUUCUUGCUGAGUCUGACAGAGGGAAAAGCUGAAAGGAGCGUAGGUCAUAUAUGAUGGCAUUGGAUAACUGAAUCAGUCACCCUAAAGCCACCUUAUUUUAAUUCUUGAUGUUUGUGAUGAUAAUCCCUUUGUUUAAGCCAGUUGAGAGUAACAUCUUAUUUUAUAAAUUAUUUUUGGCUUAGGAUAGGCCUAAUAUUAACAAAUGUGUUUAAUAUUCUAUUACAUAGAAAGUAGACACUGGUGGAAGGCCCAUUAAGAUGUCAUGAUGGGCCGGACAUGGUGGCUCAUGCCUGUAAUCCUAACACUUUGGGAGUCCGAGGUGGGCGAAUCACCUGAGGUCAGGAGUUCAAGAGCAGCCUGGCCAAAAUGGUAAAACGCUGUCUUUACUAAAAAUACAAAAAUUAGCUGGGCGUGGUGGCAUGCGCCUGUAAUCCCAGCUACUCGGGAGGCUGAGGCAGGAGAAUCACUUGAACCCAGGAGGUGGAGGUUGCAGUGAGCUGGGAUUGUGCCACUGCACUCCAGCCUGGGUGACAGAGUGAGACUCUGUCUCAAAAAAAAAAAAAGAUGUGAUGAUGGCAGCAGUGUUGGUAUAGUGGUGAGCAUAGCUGCCUUCUAAGAGGUAAUGAUGAGCGUCUAAUUUUAAGAUCAGCUAUAUGGGGUUGAAAGUUUUAUAAGUAGUCUUACAAAACUGAAUGUUCUAAAUGUAAAACACAGACACACAAAAAAUUUCUACAAUACAGUAACUGAUAGCGGAUUUAACAACCUAGUUAGGAAUGGGCUAAUUAUCAAUUCUUAUAGGGGCCUCUUCUUCCCAUUUAAGAAGUUCAAAAUUGUCUACAGCUAAAGGAGUUGACAUCGUUUUACUCUGAAUUAACAUUGUUACAAGCAUGGCUUUUUAAAAGUUUAUCGAAGGCGUGAAAAUUUAUGUAUAAAAGAAACUCCACACCUGAGACACAUUACAAACAUACCUUCCUUCUUUCAACAAUAGAAGGUGCUAUGUAAAAUUACAGCACUCUUUGAUAAAAGGAACUAAAACUCUCUGAGUCAUUACUUGAAUUUAAAAAUAGCUAUGGUCAGUAUUUUUGUCUCCAAUAUGGUUCAGAAAGACAUGAAUCAUUUUUUUUUUAGUAUUUCCCAAACGAUAGCCACUUUGAAACGGAAGUGAUGUAUGCAGUUGGGUUCAGUUUGUUUGUGAAAUAACGAAUGUACACUUCAGAUACUGAUCUUACUGUACUUUCGGGAAUUCCUUGGACAUCUCACAUAAUUAUUGCUUAUAAAGGUAAACAUUUUGUAACCAUAGCAACUUAUUUUAAAACUGAAAAUUUUCUCCCUUCAGCUUUUAAAGUGCAUUAACUUCAUACUACAUUUACUCUGGCAUCACCACAUUGUAAAAACCAGAAUGAAUUGCACAUAAUCUUUCCUCAAUCUUUUUUUAAGAAGGGCAAAAUUCAGCCUGUUUAAAAUAAAAAUUUUGCACUCAACUGAUUUUAAUAUGAGGGCUAAAUUGUCUUUGAUACAGUUGCUGAACAAUAAUUAACUUUGCAAAUAAUAAUGUAGAUUUCAGAGAAUGUGUUUAUCCUUGGCCUGAUAGAACAUAAGUCAUAUGUCAGAGAUACUACUCAUCACAUAUCUUAGCUAAAAAUUUUACUAAUCAGAUUGACUAGGAUAUUUUAAAAAGUAUCACAACUUUAAAAAAAAGACCUCUAAAAUGAUGAGUCCUUUUCCUUAAUUUCAAACUGCUUCUCAAGGUAAUCAAAAUUAUGAAGAAAAUAACCUAACUUUUAAAGACAUUACUUAAAUGCAGUACUACAUACUUGCUAACAGAGUAGUUUUUCUCCCUUUGUUCCUUAGUUUUGGCAUAUUAGGUGUAUUCUAGAAAACUAACCUGUGUUAGUUUGGCCUGUUGAAUUUUUUACUUAUAUUCUUUUGGAAGGAAGUAAUUCUCUUAAGGCUGAAAUCUAAAAAUAGUCAUCUAAAUAUUGAUUUAAACCUUAAGUUCAUAUGUGUAACUGUUGAAUCUACACUUACUUGGAAAAGUCAGUGAAACUCUGUUUUCGUAAGUACCUGCUACGUAAGUACAUGUGUGUUGGGAGGAGGAAAGAGCGCAAAGUCAGCAUUCUUCUAGUCCCCCAUUAUAGUGUUAAAAUGUUACUAGUCUGCCUGUCUAUAAAAACCUUC